GACGAACGCUGGCGGCGUGCCUAAUACAUGCAAGUAGAACGAGUUGCGAACGGGUGAGUAACGCGUGGUAACCUGCCUCAUAGCGGGGGAUAACUAUUGGAAACGAUAGCUAAUACCGCAUACUAUUGGAGCGGCCGAUAUCGGAUUAGCUAGUAGGUGGGGUAAUGGCUCACCUAGGAGACGAUCCCUAGCUGGUCUGAGAGGAUGACCGGCCACACUGGAACUGAGACACGGUCCAGACUCCUACGGGAGGCAGCAGUGGGGAAUAUUGCACAAUGGGCGCAAGCCUGAUGCAGCCAUGCCGCGUGUAUGAAGAAGGCCUUCGGGUUGUAAAGUACUUUCAGCGGGGAGGCGUUACUCGCAGAAGAAGCACCGGCUAACUCCGUGCCAGCCGCCGCGGUAAUAC
rnacentral:rRNA from 1 species